ACGACUGCAACCUCAGUCAUCACCGCCAAGGUCCAAGCACGUCUUUAAUGGAAAUUACCCUUUUUUUUUUUUCUUUUAUGAUUCUUUCUUCUUUUAUUGAUAAAUCAGAUCAGAGCCUGCUCUGUGUUUUAAGGUUUUGGACAUUUGGAUUCUGAGAAUCUAUGAUUCAAAGGCUUUCCUUCAUCCACUCUGAUGGUUUUAAUCUCCUGCAUAUGGUAGUGCUAAAGUCUCAAAUGCUUGAGAUUUUCGCAACUCAAGUGUGAACAGGAGGAUAUUAGCUUUGAGGACAAUCUCCUUUGACCAGUGUCCAAAUUUCUCUGAUUUCUCUGUGCGAGGGUGAACUAUUCAGGCAUGGAAAGCAUGCAAUCCAAUGAUCCAUGUUCUUGGCUGACUCUGUUCUUAAGAAGCUGGAGUUUAGAGGUUAUUUGAUAAGGGUAAAUCAUGACUCAUUGAUCUUCUUGCUGCUUAUUUGCUGCAUCUGUUCGUUUUAGAACAUUUUCUACAAGUGAUCCAUUUGGGCUCCUUCCAGUUUUUGGCUACCAGCCAAAUGUCAGAGACUUGUUACUGCAUUCAACAAUUUGGAGAAUGGAGACCCUGAAACUGAGAUUUACUGACUUUGCAAUAAUUAUCAAUGAGAUCUCAGUGGAUGUCUUAUAAGAAGCAGCCCUAAUUUACAGCAAGUCCAGAUCAAUACUCUGUGGCCUCUGUCACAAUUUCUCUGGAGACUUCCCUUCAAAGCUCAAGGCCCUUUAAGUUUAUAGCUUAAACCAAUUUCGGUCAUUAAGCCCUUGACAGUAAAGAUAUGUUGUGGCUUCAAGGAGCCUCGGCACAAGCCAAAAUCAUUUAUAAAGGGCCUCCGUCAGAAUUCAAGGAUUAGGCUUCUUCUACAUUCAUCGAGUGGGAUCUAGUUCUGAUCUUCGUUCCAGCAUCAUCAUCAUAACCAGCAGGCGGCCAAGGAGGCCCAAUCAUCAUUUUUGUACCUUCCUAAUCUUCUUCUGCAGCAGAACUCAGAUGAUGGUUGAGGCCGAAUAUGUCCAAUCAUGGCUUCAUCACCCUCCCGACCUUCAUCAUCUUCAAAUAUGGAAUUGGGUACUAUUCUGGAUUCGACAUUCCCAUUACUGGAGACAUUUCCAACCACCAGAGACAGCCUCAUCUUCUUUAAGCUCUGUCACGUUGGUUGUGCUUCCUAUCAAUGGUUCUGAUCUUCUGGUUCUCAGCACCUUUAAUACCUUAUUUUUUUUUCCUUCGAUUAUGUUUGUUUUAGAGUUCAGGGGACAUUUGAAUUUCAUCCCCCGGCAUUGUAGAGAUUAUCAGAGCUUUGACUCUCAGAAUAUGGAUUCCAAGUAGUGUAUAAUGAAAUUAUUCACAUUCCUUUCUUC